rnacentral:pre_miRNA from 1 species
AUGAGGCAGAUCAUGGGUUCUUAUUGUAAUAGUGUAGAAUGUUGGUUACAACUGUGGACUCCCUGGCUCUAUCUCAA